AUUGAACGCUGGCGGCAUGCCUUACACAUGCAAGUCGAACGGCAGCACGGGGGCAACCCUGGUGGCGAGUGGCGAACGGGUGAGUAACAUAUCGGAACGUGCCCUGGAGUGGGGGAUAACUAGUCGAAAGAUUAGCUAAUACCGCAUACGAUCUACGGAUGAAAGUGGGGGAUCGCAAGACCUCAUGCUCGUGGAGCGGCCGAUAUCUGAUUAGCUAGUUGGUGGGGUAAAGGCCUACCAAGGCAUCGAUCAGUAGCUGGUCUGAGAGGACGACCAGCCACACUGGGACUGAGACACGGCCCAGACUCCUACGGGAGGCAGCAGUGGGGAAUUUUGGACAAUGGGCGCAAGCCUGAUCCAGCAAUGCCGCGUGAGUGAAGAAGGCCUUCGGGUUGUAAAGCUCUUUUGUCAGGGAAGAAACGGUGAGGGCUAAUAUCCUUUGCUAAUGACGGUACCUGAAGAAUAAGCACCGGCUAACUACGUGCCAGCAGCCGCGGUAAUACGUAGGGUGCAAGCGUUAAUCGGAAUUACUGGGCGUAAAGCGUGCGCAGGCGGUUGUGCAAGACCGAUGUGAAAUCCCCGGGCUUAACCUGGGAAUGGCAUUGGUGACUGCACGGCUAGAGUGUGUCAGAGGGGGGUAGAAUUCCACGUGUAGCAGUGAAAUGCGUAGAGAUGUGGAGGAAUACCGAUGGCGAAGGCAGCCCCCUGGGAUAACACUGACGCUCAUGCACGAAAGCGUGGGGAGCAAACAGGAUUAGAUACCCUGGUAGUCCACGCCCUAAACGAUGUCAACUAGUUGUCGGGUCUUAAUUGACUUGGUAACGCAGCUAACGCGUGAAGUUGACCGCCUGGGGAGUACGGUCGCAAGAUUAAAACUCAAAGGAAUUGACGGGGACCCGCACAAGCGGUGGAUGAUGUGGAUUAAUUCGAUGCAACGCGAAAAACCUUACCUACCCUUGACAUGGCAGGAAUCCCGGAGAGAUUCGGGAGUGCUCGAAAGAGAACCUGCACACAGGUGCUGCAUGGCUGUCGUCAGCUCGUGUCGUGAGAUGUUGGGUUAAGUCCCGCAACGAGCGCAACCCUUGUCAUUAGUUGCUACGAAAGGGCACUCUAAUGAGACUGCCGGUGACAAACCGGAGGAAGGUGGGGAUGACGUCAAGUCCUCAUGGCCCUUAUGGGUAGGGCUUCACACGUCAUACAAUGGUACAUACAGAGGGCCGCCAACCCGCGAGGGGGAGCUAAUCCCAGAAAGUGUAUCGUAGUCCGGAUUGCAGUCUGCAACUCGACUGCAUGAAGUUGGAAUCGCUAGUAAUCGCGGAUCAGCAUGUCGCGGUGAAUACGUUCCCGGGUCU
rnacentral:rRNA from 1 species